rnacentral:RNase_P_RNA from 2 species
ACCCUGUGCCGGAUAGUCGCGCCCUGCGUAAGCAGAGGUGAGGAAAGUCCGAGCUACCAUUGCAUCGAAAGAUGUAAUAAACGGGUAACGGGUAACGCCCGUCUAGGGAAACCUACGAGGUGCGAACAGAGACGGUUUUUUCCGAAAGGGGAAAACCACCCUAUCGAAAGAUCGGGCGAGCUCUUUAGUAAUAAAGAGAGUGAAACGGCAAAAUCCUUACUUGGUUGCAAGGCCGUGCUCCGCCUUUGGCGGAGAGUGCCGCUUGAGAUGUGUGGCAACACACAUCCUAGAUAAAUGGCUAUCGUCUGUCGCAAGACAGAUACAGAACUCGGCUUAUAGGCACAAGGUACAA